CGGCCCAGGCGACUGCUGCUUUUUAAGUAGAGGAAAGUCCAUGCUCGCACCAUCUGUGAUGAUGGUAGUGUUUGUGCUGAGAUAAAAAAUAAUCUCAGGUACGUGGGAGCACGUAACGGCGAAGGGAAAUCUCAAGUAGAAUUACCUUCCUAAGGUGCCACAGAGACGAGCUUAAUGGUGACAUUAAGAUGAAACGCGGUAAACCCCACAA
rnacentral:RNase_P_RNA from 1 species